CAUACGUCGCUGGUAGAGAUGUUACCAGCGUUUCCUCUAGCCUCCCCCCCCCCCCCCCCCAUUUCCUCUUGCUUCUCGAACAAAUCUGACUACAUUAUUACUUGACGUUGCUGGUAAUUAAAACUGUAGAAAACUACACGAUCAGUAGAGCAGAGAAGGCUGCAUUUCCUGACGGGCCAACCUGACAAAUAUUCUGCUUGCUGUGGGGUUAAUGACAGCGGCCAAGCAAUAGCAUCCAAAGACGCGCUUCCCAAAGUGAAAAGAGAACGUCUUGAAAGCCAGACAAUGGCAUCCCAAGACGCGCUUCCCAAAGCGAAAAGAGAACGUCUUGAAAGCCAGCACAUACUGAAGCACUUCUUGAAGAAGGCGAAGGAACGGAGGCCUGACAUUCUUCUACGUUUCAUUGAGGUAGCACAGACAAAUAAAGCUCU